rnacentral:rRNA from 1 species
GACAGAGGGUGCAACCGUUGCUCGGAAUCACUGGGCGUAAAGGGCGUGUAGGCGGGCAGAUAAGUCGGGCGUGAAAUCCCCAGGCUCAACCUGGGAACUGCACUCGAAACUGUUUGUCUUGAGUAUCGGAGAGGAAAGCGGAAUACCUGGUGUAGAGGUGAAAUUCGUAGAUAUCAGGUGGAACACCAGUGGCGAAGGCGGCUUUCUGGACGAUAACUGACGCUGAGACGCGAAAGCGUGGGGAGCAAACAGG